rnacentral:rRNA from 1 species
AGGAUGGUCCCCCACACUGGUACUGAGACACGUGACCAGACUCCUACGGAGCAGCAGUGAGGAAUAUUGGUCAAUGGGCGAAAGCCUGAACCAGCCAUGCCGCGUGAAGGAUGACAGCCCUAUGGGUGGAAACUUCUUUUGAGCGGGAAGAAACGCUUUCCACGUGUAGAGGUUUGCCGGUACCGUACGAAUAAGCAUCGGCUAACUCCGCGCCAGCAGCCGCGGUAAUACGGAGGAUGCAAGCGUUAUCCGGAUUUAUUGGGUUUAAAGGGUACGUAGGCGGGAGCUUAAGUCAGUGGUGAAAUCCUGCAGCUAAACUGUAGAACUGUCAUUGAUACUGGGCUUCUUGAAUGUAGUUGAGGUAGCCGGAAUGUGUAAUGUACCGGUGAAAUGCUUAGAUAUUACACAGAACACCGAUUGCGAAGGCAGCUUACUAAACUACGAUUGACGCUGAGGUACGAAAGCGUGGGGAGCGAACAGGAUUAGAUACCCUGGUAGUCCACGCUGUAAACGAUGAUCACUCGUUGUUGGCAAUACACCGUCAGCGACUGAGCGAAAGCAUUAAGUGAUCCACCUGGGGAGUACGACCGCAAGGUUGAAACUCAAAGGAAUUGACGGGGGCCCGCACAAGCGGAGGAACAUGUGGUUUAAUUCGAUGAUACGCGAGGAACCUUACCUGGGCUUAAAUGUAGAACGACGGACCGGGAAACUGGUCUUUCUUCGGACGGUCUGCAAGGUGCUGCAUGGCUGUCGUCAGCUCGUGCCGUGAGGUGUCGGGUUAAGUCCCAUAACGAGCGCAACCCUCAUCAUUAGUUGCCAGCGGGUAAUGCCGGGGACUCUAAUGAAACUGCCCGGUGUAAACCGAGAGGANNANGGUGGGNGAUGACGUCAAGUCAGCACAGGCCCACUUAUGUCACAGGGCUACACACGUGUUACAAUGGUCGGUACAAAGGGUAGCUACCUGGCGACAGGAUGCUAAUCUCGAAAACCGAUCUCAGUUCGGAUCGAAGUCUGCAACUCGACUUCGUGAAGCUGGAUUCGCUAGUAAUCGCGCAUCAGCCAUGGCGCGGUGAUACGUUCCCGGGCAUUGUACACACCGCCCGUCAAGC